UACACGAGCGGCGAACGGGUGAGUAACACGUGGGUGAUCUGCCUCGUACUUCGGGAUAAGCCUGGGAAACUGGGUCUAAUACCGGAUAUGACCACUGGAUGCAUGUCUUGUGGUGGAAAGAUUUAUCGGUGCGAGAUGGGCCCGCGGCCUAUCAGCUUGUUGGUGGGGUAAUGGCCUACCAAGGCGACGACGGGUAGCCGACCUGAGAGGGUGACCGGCCACACUGGGACUGAGACACGGCCCAGACUCCUACGGGAGGCAGCAGUGGGGAAUAUUGCACAAUGGGCGGAAGCCUGAUGCAGCGACGCCGCGUGAGGGAUGACGGCCUUCGGGUUGUAAACCUCUUUCGACAGGGACGAAGCGUGAGUGACGGUACCUGUAGAAGAAGCACCGGCCAACUACGUGCCAGCAGCCGCGGUAAUACGUAGGGUGCGAGCGUUGUCCGGAAUUACUGGGCGUAAAGAGCUUGUAGGCGGUUCGUCGCGUCGAUCGUGAAAACCUACCGCUCAACGGUGGGCUUGCGGUCGAUACGGGCGGACUAGAGUACUUCAGGGGAGACUGGAAUUCCUGGUGUAGCGGUGAAAUGCGCAGAUAUCAGGAGGAACACCGGUGGCGAAGGCGGGUCUCUGGGAAGUAACUGACGCUGAGAAGCGAAAGCGUGGGUAGCGAACAGGAUUAGAUACCCUGGUAGUCCACGCCGU
rnacentral:rRNA from 1 species